CUCUGAAAUGAAGGGGUAAAUGUUUUGUUGUUCUUUUCACUUUGACUGCCAGGAAGCUUGGCAUGGAACGAGAGGUUCAACCCCACGCGUUCUGUUGGCCUUGUCUGCAUAUUCAUUUGUUGUGUUGUUCUCCCUACAGUUUCCAGUUCCAGGUAUGUCUCCUCAGUGCCCCCAUGAGCACUGCACACUGACACCUGUGUUGGAACAUUCACUCUGCAAGUCCUCAUGUGAUUACUUAUAGGAAUGUCCCCAUCUUUCAGCAUGCAGUCACAUCCUACAAGUUCCGGGCAGCCUCCCUAUCUUCUCCAGCACUCACAAUCUACUCAGCUAAAUCUCAAAAAGUCAGCAGUUAUUUGUUCCAGGAUGGGAAAGAUCUGGCUGGAAGUUGCAUCAAAGUAAGCUUCCAUUUUAUCUUCCUCACCUCCUAUUUAAUGAUUUGGUUUGCCUGCAUUUCUCCCAGGACUGAGCAGAGUAGAUGCUCAAGAAGUACUUAGGAUUACCUGACAUCUCUGGGAUGAGACAGAGUGACUUGUUCCUUGUCAGGUAAUAAGAAGCAGGUCUCUCUCCAUGCCUCUACUGCUUGCUAAAUCAUCAAGAAAAUCUACAGAAAGGUAGAAGCCUGACUCAAAAUGGAUAAAUGCCACUCACCAUCAGUCAUGCAUUCAAACAUCCAAUAAGGUGAGGCAGCAGUGUGGAAGAGCUAACCCAGCAUGGACCUCAAAAUCAAGAUUCUUGAAGUGCUAUCUAAUGCUUAUAUUCUUGAAUGCCAAGGUCUGACAGGUGAAUUCCAGAGAAAGGGAGGUUGUCAUCAGGGCACCUGGGUCACCACAAGGUCAAACUGAGCACCACAAAUGAGUAUCUCUGUAAGACAAGCUCCCAUAGACUGUGGGAAGGGUACAUGGAGCCAUCAACCAGCCACUCCUGUUGUUGCAACCAUAAACAUUGGAAUUCUCAACGGGAGAUCAAUUCAUCCAGAAAAGUCACCAUCUUCUGAAGAGAAGCCAGUCCCCAAUGUCUUUGAUGGACAGCUUUCAGUUAAUAUAAAUGACUGAGUCGGUACAAGGUGAGUUCUCACAUGAAUGCCAAGUGCAUAGUAAGCAUUAGCUAUUCUUGUCUCAUUGCUAUUCUCUCACUUCCGAGAAGUUCUCGUUACCAUGCCUGAUCCCUUUACUGGAAGCACCUUAGCAUGGCAGUUAAGAGCUCACACUCUGCCCAGGUUAAAAGUCCAGGUCCCAUCAAGU
rnacentral:lncRNA from 1 species